UUUGUACUGUGAAACUGCGAAUGGCUCAUUAAAUCAGUUAUCGUUUAUUUGAUAGUACCUUACUACAUGGAUACCUGUGGUAAUUCUAGAGCUAAUACAUGCUAAAAACCUCGACUUCGGAAGGGGUGUAUUUAUUAGAUAAAAAACCAAUGCCCUUCGGGGCUCCUUGGUGAAUCAUAAUAACUAAGCGAAUCGCAUGGCCUUGCGCCGGCGAUGGUUCAUUCAAAUUUCUGCCCUAUCAACUUUCGAUGGUAAGAUAGUGGCUUACCAUGGUGGCAACGGGUAACGGGGAAUUAGGGUUCGAUUCCGGAGAGGGAGCCUGAGAAACGGCUACCACAUCCAAGGAAGGCAGCAGGCGCGCAAAUUACCCAAUCCCGACACGGGGAGGUAGUGACAAUAAAUACUGAUACGGGGCUCUUUUGGGUCUCGUAAUUGGAAUGAGUACAAUCUAAAUCCCUUAACGAGGAACAAUUGGAGGGCAAGUCUGGUGCCAGCAGCCGCGGUAAUUCCAGCUCCAAUAGCGUAUAUUAAAGUUGUUGCAGUUAAAAAGCUCGUAGUUGAACCUUGGGUCUGGCUGACCGGUCCGCCUCACCGCGAGUACUGG
rnacentral:rRNA from 2 species